CUAGACCGACGGGCCUCGAUCCCGUAAACUAUUAGUUAACAACCAMACACCCAAUCCAGCGGGCUUCAGCCUA
rnacentral:tRNA from 1 species